UUCACAAUGCAGGUAUUUGAAGGUGCAGCGUUUGGAAUACAUAGAUUACGAGAAGGAAAAGAAACAUUUCUGAAGCAUCUAUGUGUCCUAGAAGUAGAAUUUUUCAGAGGUGGCCCCUUCUUUGGAAUAGUCCAGUGGCACCUGAAGCAAGAUGAGAAAGAAGCUGAAACACAAGGUUCAUCUGCAUUAUAUAACACAGAAGAAGCAAUCUAAUACCGCUGUAGAAGUCAAGGGAA